rnacentral:rRNA from 1 species
CAUCCUCCAAGGCUAAAUACUCCUGACUGACCGAUAGUGAACCAGUACCGUGAGGGAAAGGCGAAAAGAACCCCGGCGAGGGGAGUGAAAAAGAACCUGAAACCGUGUACGUACAAGCAGUGGGAGCCCCACCACUAAGCCAGUGGUGAACUCCACAUACGCAUCCUUUGCUGAGGAUACGGUUAACGGAGCGAAAGCGACGUUCAACCUCAAAAGAAGCAGAGGGGGCUUAGUGGUGGGGUGACUGCGUACCUUUUGUAUAAUGGGUCAGCGACUUAUAUUCUGUAGCAAGGUUAACCGAAUAGGGGAGCCGCAGGGAAACCGAGUCUUAACCGGGCGUUAAGUUGCAGGGUAUAGACCCGAAACCCGGUGAUCUAGCCAUGGGCAGGUUGAAGGUUGGGUAACACUAACUGGAGGACCGAACCGACUAAUGUUGAAAAA